rnacentral:rRNA from 1 species
CAGUCGCCGCGGUAAUACGUAGGUGGCAAGCGUUGUCCGGAAUUAUUGGGCGUAAAGCGCGCGCAGGCGGCCUAUCCAGUCUGUCUUAAAAGUUCGGGGCUCAACCCCGUGAUGGGAUGGAAACUAGUAGGCUAGAGUAUCGGAGAGGAAAGCGGAAUUCCUAGUGUAGCGGUGAAAUGCGUAGAUAUUGGGGGGAACACCAGUGGCGAAGGCGGCUUUCUGGACUGUAACUGACGCUGAGGCUCGAAAGCCAGGGGAGCGAACGGGAUUAGAUACCCGGGUAGUCCCUGUCUCUUAUACA